rnacentral:rRNA from 1 species
GAUGAACGCUGGCGGCGUGCUUAACACAUGCAAGUCGAACGGUGAAGGAGGAGCUUGCUCUUCUGGAUCAGUGGCGAACGGGUGAGUAACACGUGAGCAAUCUGCCCUUGACUCUGGGAUAACAGUUGGAAACAGCUGCUAAUACCGGAUACGAGACGUGACCGCAUGGUCAACGUCUGGAAAGAACUUCGGUCAAGGAUGAGCUCACGGCCUAUCAGCUAGUUGGUGAGGUAAUGGCUCACCAAGGCGACGACGGGUAGCCGGCCUGAGAGGGUGACCGGCCACACUGGGACUGAGACACGGCCCAGACUCCUACGGGAGGCAGCAGUGGGGAAUAUUGCACAAUGGGCGAAAGCCUGACGCAGCGACGCCGCGUGGGGGAUGAAGGUUUCGGAUUGUAAACCCUUUCAUGAGGAAAGAUAAAGUGGGUAACCACUUAGACGGUACCUCAAGAAGAAGCCACGGCUAACUUCGUGCCAGCAGCCGACGG